rnacentral:lncRNA from 1 species
GCCGGGGUGAGCGCAUUGAAGUGGCUGUCAUAAAUCACAUGAUCCACAGAAACAUGAAAUGGCCAAUGCUGAGGGAUGGCCUUACCCCUUGAUCAUGACUCUCAGUUCUACUACAUUGCACGUAAGAGUCAUUGGACGAAGGCGUCUUCUGAUCCCCGAUGCUCAAAGCGGUACGGUAUUGGAAGCAUAAGGACCUUAUCUUUCAUAUCAGCGAGAAAUCAUUUUCAAAAAACAAAAGAUGAAAUUGAUACAUACCUUGGUAGGGUUAGGGUUCCCACAUGGUCAUAUUUCCACGUUACAGCGCUUAUUUACAUAAAACUGACAGAAGACAAGAUGCUAACCUGUGCUAAUUAGCCACUCCGCAUGCUCAGAACACAUUUGCGUAAAAGCGUAACUCGGGAAGUGUACUUUCGUUAGAUGGAGGCGCUCAUUGCUGUGUGUAUCUGAGAAAAACUGCUACAAGCCCACAUCAUCACAGCAGGCCUCCCCAGUGCAACAACUUGUCUAUCUAUCUGGUGGCGUGCAGAGGACAGGCUAGCUGGUUGGCUGCUGAGGUUUGGACCAGCACCAGCCUGACUUAUUGAUCUGGUUGCAUCACUGCCUGGUAUGGCAACUGCUCGGCCUCCCACCGCAAGGCACUACAGAGGGUAGUGCGUACGGCCCAGUACAUCACUGGGGCCAAGCUUCCUGCCAUCCAGGAUAUCAGGCGGCAUCAGAGGAUGGCCCUAAAAAUUGUCAAAGACUCCAGCCACCCUAGUCAUAGACUGUUCUCUCUGCUACUGCACGGCAAGCGGUACCAGAGCACCAAGUCUAGGUCCAAAAGGCUUCUUAACAGCUUCUACCCCCAAGCCAUAAGGCUCCUGAACAGCUAAUCAAAGUGCUACCCAGACCCCUCUUUUACGCUGCUGCUACUCUCUGUUUAUUAUCUAUGCAUAGUCACUUUAAUAACUCUACCUACAUGUACUUAUUACCUCAAUUACCUUGACACCGGUGCCCCCGCAAUUUGACUCUGUACCGGUACCCCCUGUAUAUAGCCCUGCUAUUUUUAUUUACUGCUGGUCUUUAAUUAUUUGUUAUUAUUAUCUCUUACUUUUUUGGGGGUAUUUUCUUAAAACUGCAUUGUUGGUUAAGGGCUUGUAAAUAAGCAUUUCACUGUAAGGUGAAUGUGUUGUAUCUGACAAAUAAAAAUGGAUUCAACAAUUUGAUUUGAUUUGAUCGGGCUUACCAAAGAAAAACUUCCCACUCAGGACUGAGUCCUUUUUGGGACUUUUUCUUUGAUAUUGUCACGUCCUGACCAGUAUAAGGGUUAUUUGUUAUUGUAGUUUGGUCAGGACGUGGCCGAGGGUAUUUGUUUUAUGUGGUUCGGGGUGGUGGUUAAUUUAGUAGGGCGUUUGAUUUAUUAUUUCCAGGUUUUGGUUUAUGUUCUAUGUUUUGUACUUGUAUUUUCUUUCUUGGUUGGUAUAUUUCUAUGUGUAGGUUAAUGGGGGGUUGGACUCUCAAUUGGAGGCAGGUGCUUUCUCGUUGCCUCUGAUUGAGAGUCCUAUAUAUGGGUAAUUGUUUGGUUUAGUGAUUGUGGGAGAUUGUUUCUUGUUUUGCCUGUGUGAGCGUUACAAGACUGUUUUGUUGUUCGUGCGUUGUUGUUUUUGGUGUUCUCUUCAUUUAAAAUAAAUGAUAAGAUGCGCAUCCACA